UCACAUACUUUUGAUCAGAAGAAUACAAGCUAGCUGAAAAGUGAAAACAACCGCCAGGCCAGGAAGACACCGGAGAAAUCUGUCGGCGAUAAUCCACGUCAUACCCAGUUCAUCAUUGUUGAAGAAAUGGGAGCCAGGCUCACAGCAUUUGAAAACAGGUCCAAUGUGGAAAUGGAAAUUCGUGUUUUUUUUCCACCUGAUCGGCCAGACAGAUAUCGCAUGAUCAUUAGAGUCAAACCAGGGAAAGUUAGGAAUGUAUUGACUAAAAGGUUAUGCAAUUGUGAAAAUCAUUUCACUGGCAAACCUGAUAACCAAUAUCUUCCUGAUGGUUUUCAUGGACGGGAUUUAGAGUGGUGUAACUUUGCUUCCAUGGGAAGUUAAGUAGUACGCAAAAACCAAUACCUUCACUAGCUUUUUCAGACUCAACUGCCACAAGUUUGCGAUUGAGAGACCGAAAGGCAAAGAUUACCUGUUGCUGAAGUAGUGCGUCUAGUUUGCUUUGCACCAAUUUCGACAGAGAUAAACAAACCUCAUUGUAAAUUGCUCAGCAUAUAAACUUGGGCAGAGCGUAGCAUUGUACUGUUCUUGCCUUCUCGGCCACUGUUCGUUGGUCACCAUCUUUUACAUGAGAAUACAAAAGUGACAUACUUAAAGUGUAAGACCAGAGCCGACCUUACGUAUCAAAUGUAUCUCUUUGCAUUUUGUAUUAAAAAAAAGACAAAAGUGACACCCUAUAAAAGUAAGACUAGAUCUGGUCGUACAUAUUAAAUGUAUCGUUAUGCCACAAUACAACAGGAGGCAUACUUCUUUUGUGUAACUGACUGUGUGGUGUUAUGACAAAGGACCGUUCUACAGACAAAUCUACAGCUCUAAACUAUGUACUACCUCAAUAAACAUUGUGUUUGCGAACUCUGCAUACUAUAAUAUGUGUAAUUAGUGGUUUAUCCUGUACUUGUUUACUCAUGUCAUGUUUAUGUUCAAUGUUUUGUGUUCAAAAUGGCUCUAAUUAGGACCAGCCCCGAUCAUAUUUUGUCUGGGCUUUAUAUGGUGAGUCCAAACUAGGAUAGGACGAGUAUGGGGCUUUGUCUAUUUUGUAAAUCUCCACUACCAAUCAUGAGGCUGCGGGUUAAAGCCUCAUUGGAAUAAAUUAUAAAUGUAUGAAAUAUGAAUAAUCGUAUGAUCUCGACCUGUUGAAUAACGUUGUCUUUUAGGGGAUACCUUUUUAAAAUGAAUUAUGCGUUAUGUAAAAUUAGAAUCACAAAAUCAGUUGUAACAAAACGUGGUAUAAAAAUAGUAUUUGGAUUAUCUUUUUUGCAUUUUGAAAUUAAGAUAAUCAGAUAAUCCGCGCAUUUAGUGUUUGACAAAUUUAGUUAUUUAACAACUUAGAGGUGAAAUGACUCUAAUUUACAUGUUUACUUCAUUAAUCAUUGAUACCUUUUAUCUUAACAUCUAAUACUAUAUUUUCAUGACAAACUGUGUAAUGUAUUUUUAUUGAGAAUAUAAAUGUGAUAUGUCGUAUUUUAUACUCAUUUCCCACGGUUUAGUUAGUUGUUUAAGUAAGUUUUACGAGUCGUUUUUGUGUAUAUUUGGUACGUUUAUGGUAUUUGUUAGUGUUUCAGGAAUUAACAGGUACUUAAGCGAUAAUAUGAAGAAAACGAAGUUUCUGGAAGAAUAUGAGUGCUUACGGAUGUUUUACGAUGCACGAGAACGAAGAUUAGAAGCUGGUCAAAGAAAGUCAAUGCUGGUCAACGCAAGUCAACGGGCACUGCGGUGCAGUAAUGUGCUGCGUCGCAGUAAUUCAUGUCGAGGAACAAACUGCUUCGCAGUAUGCUGAGACUGCGACACAGUCGUACCAUAUACAACCAAAGACCAGUCAACAGAAGUCAAAGUCAAGAAAGUCAAAACAUUAGACUGCGACGCAGUCUGGGACUACGAUGCAGUAUAUGUCGAAUAUGAACAAUUUUUUUAGAAAGUUUAAAUAGCUUGCUAAAACAUUCUUGAAACCCUACCUUCACUUUUCAGUCGACUUUUGCAGCCUUUGGAGCAGAUUUUCAUC